CAGCAGCCCCGGUAAUACCGGCGGCCCGAGUGGCGGUCACUAUUAUUGGGCUUAAAACGUCCGUAGCCGGGUUGGGAAGUCCUCCGGGAAAUCUGGCCGCUUAACGGUCAGAAUGCCGGAGGAUACUCCCAGCCUAGGGAGCGGGAGAGGCCGAGGGGAUUCCCGGAGGAGGGGGGAAAUCCUAUAAUCCCGGGAGGACCACCUGUGGCGAAGGCGCUCGGCUGGAACGCGUCCGACGGUGAGGGACGAAGGCCAGGGGAGCAAACCGGAUUAGAUACCCGGGUAGUCCUGGCUGUAAACGAUGCGGACUUUGUGUCGGACAAGCUAUGAGCUUGUCCGGUGCCGGAGGGAAACCGUUAAGUCCGCCGCCUGGGGAGUACGGCCGCAAGGCUGAAACUUAAAGGAAUUGGCGGG
rnacentral:rRNA from 1 species